UUCCCCCUUCGGGGGGACAGGGUGACAGGUGGUGCAUGGUUGUCGUCAGCUCGUGUCGUGAGAUGUUGGGUUAAGUCCCCGCAACGAGCGCAACCCUCGACCUUAGUUGCCAGCAUUCAGUUGGGCACUCUAAGGUGACUGCCGGCUAAAAGUCGGAGGAAGGUGGGGAUGACGUCAAAUCAUCAUGCCCCUUAUGACCUGGGCUACACACGUGCUACAAUGGUUGGUACAACGAGUUGCGAGUCGGUGACGGCGAGCUAAUCUCUUAAAGCCAAUCUCAGUUCGGAUUGUAGGCUGCAACUCGCCUACAUGAAGUCGGAAUCGCUAGUAAUCGCGGAUCAGCACGCCGCGGUGAAUACGUUCCCGGGCCUU
rnacentral:rRNA from 1 species